rnacentral:rRNA from 1 species
AUUGAACGCUGGCGGCAGGCCUAACACAUGCAAGUCGAGCGGAUGAAGGGAGCUUGCUCCUGGAUUCAGCGGCGGACGGGUGAGUAAUGCCUAGGAAUCUGCCUGGUAGUGGGGGAUAACGUCCGGAAACGGGCGCUAAUACCGCAUACGUCCUGAGGGAGAAAGUGGGGGAGCUUCGGACCUCACGCUAUCAGAUGAGCCUAGGUCGGAUUAGCUAGUUGGUGGGGUAAAGGCCUACCAAGGCGACGAUCCGUAACUGGUCUGAGAGGAGGAUCAGUCACACUGGAACUGAGACACGGUCCAGACUCCUACGGGAGGCAGCAGUGGGGAAUAUUGGACAAUGGGCGAGAGCCUGAUCCAGCCAUGCCGCGUGUGUGAAGAAGGUCUUCGGAUUGUAAAGCACUUUAAGUUGGGAGGAAGGGCAGUAAGUUAAUACCUUGCUGUUUUGACGUUACCAACAGAAUAAGCACCGGCUAACUUCGUG